rnacentral:rRNA from 1 species
UGCCUCAGUAACGGCGAGUGAAGCGGCAACAGCUCAAAUUUGAAAUCUGGCGCCCCUGGGCGUCCGAGUUGUAAUUUGCAGAGGAUGCUUCGGGAUCGGCGCUGCCCCAGGUUCUUUGGAACAGGACGCCACAGAGGGUGAGAGCCCCGUCUCUGGGCGGCAGCCGGUACCGUGUGAAGCGCCUUCGACGAGUCGAGUUGUUUGGGAAUGCAGCUCAAAACGGGAGGUAAAUUUCUUCCAAGGCUAAAUACAGGCCGGAGACCGAUAGCGCACAAGUAGAGUGAUCGAAAGAUGAAAAGUACUUUGGAAAGAGAGUCAAACAGCGCGUGAAAUUGUUGAAAGGGAAGCGCUUGCAGUCAGACUUGGCCGCCCGGUUCGGCGGGGCCUCGCGCCCCGUCUCCGCCGUGGCGGUCAGGCCAGCAUUGGUUCGGGCGACCGGAGAAAGGCUGCGGGAAUGUGGCUCCUCUCGGGGAGUGUUAUAGCCCGCGGCAGAAUACGGCCAGCCCGGACCAAGGAACGCGCUUCGGCUCGGAUGCUGGCGUAAUGGCUGCAAGCGGCCCGUCUUGAAACACGGACCAAGGAGUCUAACAUCUGUGCGAGUGUUUGGGUGUCAAGCCCUUGCGCGCAAUGAAAGUGAACGGAGGUGGGAGCCCUCGGGCGCACCAUCGACCGAUCCUGAUGUCUUCGGAAGGAUUUGAGUAAGAGCACAGCUGUUGGGACCCGAAAGAUGGUGAACUAUGCCUAAGCAGGGUGAAGCCAGAGGAAACUCUGGUGGAGGCUCGCAGCGGUUCUGACGUGCAAAUCGAUCGUCAAAUUUGGGUAUA